UACGUAGGUGGCAAGCGUUGUCCGGAAUUAUUGGGCGUAAAGGGCGCGCAGGUGGUGUGCUAAGUCUGCCGUGAAAUCUCCCGGCUCAACUGGGAGGGUGCGGUGGAGACUGGUACGCUUGAGGUCCCUAGAGGUCGGUGGAAUUCCCGGUGUAGUGGUGAAAUGCGUAGAUAUCGGGAGGAACACCUGUGGCGAAGGCGACUUCCUGGCCUGUUCUUGACGCUGAGGCGCGAAAGCUAGGGGAGCAAACGGG
rnacentral:rRNA from 1 species